rnacentral:rRNA from 1 species
UACGUAGGGUGCGAGCGUUGUCCGGAAUCAUUGGGCGUAAAGAGCUCGUAGGCGGUCUGUCGCGUCGAUCGUGAAAACUUGGGGCUUAACCCUGAGCUUGCGGUCGAUACGGGCAUGACUGGAGUUCGGCAGGGGAGACUGGAAUUCCUGGUGUAGCGGUGAAAUGCGCAGAUAUCAGGAGGAACACCGGUGGCGAAGGCGGGUCUCUGGGCCGAUACUGACGCUGAGGAGCGAAAGCGUGGGGAGCGAACAGG